UACAGAGGUCCCAAGCGUUGUUCGGAUUCACUGGGCGUAAAGGGUGCGUAGGUGGCAGGGUAAGUUUGAUGUGAAAUCUCCGGGCUUAACCCGGAAACUGCAUUGAAUACUAUCCGGCUCGAGGAAUGGAGGGGAGACUGGAAUACUUGGUGUAGCAGUGAAAUGCGUAGAUAUCAAGUGGAACACCAGUGGCGAAGGCGGCCUGCUGGGCAGUUUUGCUGACACUGAGGCGCGACAGCGUGGGGAGCAAACAGG
rnacentral:rRNA from 1 species